GCUCCCUGAUGUCAGCGGCGGACGGGUGAGUAACACGUGGGUAACCUGCCUGUAAGACUGGGAUAACUCCGGGAAACCGGGGCUAAUACCGGAUGCUUGAUUGAACCGCAUGGUUCAAUUAUAAAAGGUGGCUUUUAGCUACCACUUACAGAUGGACCCGCGGCGCAUUAGCUAGUUGGUGAGGUAACGGCUCACCAAGGCAACGAUGCGUAGCCGACCUGAGAGGGUGAUCGGCCACACUGGGACUGAGACACGGCCCAGACUCCUACGGGAGGCAGCAGUAGGGAAUCUUCCGCAAUGGACGAAAGUCUGACGGAGCAACGCCGCGUGAGUGAUGAAGGUUUUCGGAUCGUAAAACUCUGUUGUUAGGGAAGAACAAGUACCGUUCGAAUAGGGCGGUACCUUGACGGUACCUAACCAGAAAGCCACGGCUAACUACGUGCCAGCAGCCGCGGUAAUACGUAGGUGGCAAGCGUUGUCCGGAAUUAUUGGGCGUAAAGCGCGCGCAGGCGGUUUCUUAAGUCUGAUGUGAAAGCCCCCGGCUCAACCGGGGAGGGUCAUUGGAAACUGGGGAACUUGAGUGCAGAAGAGGAGAGUGGAAUUCCACGUGUAGCGGUGAAAUGCGUAGAGAUGUGGAGGAACACCAGUGGCGAAGNCGACUCUCUGGUCUGUAACUGACGCUGAGGCGCGAAAGCGUGGGGAGCGAACAGGAUUAGAUACCCUGGUAGUCCACGCCGUAAACGAUGAGUGCUAAGUGUUAGAGGGUUNCGCCCUUUAGUGCUGCAGCAAACGCAUUAAGCACUCCGCCUGGGGAGUACNGUCGCAAGACUGAAACUCAAGGNAUUGACGGGGGCCCGCACAAGCGGNGGAGCAUGNUGGUUUAAUUCGAAGCAACNCGAAGA
rnacentral:rRNA from 1 species